CUAGUAGAAAUAUUAGAUAAUACCGAAUGUGCUCAUUUACAUAAAGGUAAAUGAGGAAAGGAGCUACGGCUCCGCUACAGGAUGGGCCCGCGUCCCAUUAGCUGGUUGGUGAGGUAAAGGCCCACCAAGGCAACGAUGGGUAUCCGGCCUGAGAGGGUGAACGGACACAUUGGGACUGAGAUACGGCCCAAACUCCUACGGGAGGCAGCAGCUAAGAAUCUUCCGCAAUGGACGAAAGUCUGACGGAGCGACGCCGUGUGAAUGAAGAAGGCCGAAAGGUUGUAAAAUUCUUUUGCAGAUGAAGAAUAAGAAGAAGAGGGAAUGCUUCUUUGAUGACGGUAGUCAUGCGAAUAAGCCCCGGCUAAUUACGUGCCAGCAGCCGCGGUAACACGUAAGGGGCGAGCGUUGUUCGGAAUUAUUGGGCGUAAAGGGUAUGUAGGCGGUUAGGUAAGCCUGGUGUGAAAUCUACGAGCUCAACUCGUAAACUGCAUUGGGUACUGCUUGACUUGAAUCACGGAGGGGAAACCGGAAUUCCAAGUGUAGGGGUGGAAUCUGUAGAUAUUUGGAAGAACACCGGUGGCGAAGGCGGGUUUCUGGCCGAUGAUUGACGCUGAUAUACGAAGGUGCGGGGAGCAAACAGGAUUAGAUACCCUGGUAGUCCGCACAGUAAACGAUGUACACUAGGUGUCGGGGCAAGAGCUUCGGUGCCGACGCAAACGCAUUAAGUGUACCGCCUGGGAAGUAUGCCCGCAAGGGUGAAACUCAAAGGA
rnacentral:rRNA from 1 species